rnacentral:lncRNA from 1 species
CAGCCUUCAGAACAUGAGUUUUAAAAGUGAAUUUUUGCAUAAUUUUAAAAUAGUUUCAGACAUUCUUCUAUAGCAGUCAUAACAGUUACAUUUUAAUGUGCUUCACUAAGCCUAUUAUUCCACUUUUCAGUGCUGCUGUUAGAUGAGAGCGCAAUAGUAGCUUAACCCUGUCCAGAAGUAAACAUAUUGAUUGAUUAUUUGAGAAGUUAAAACUGGUGUUGAAACAGAGAAGUAUAGACGUAUGAUUCUUUGUUGAUGCCUUCUGUGUGGAAUGUCUGUGACCACUUCUUCCGUCCUUGCGCUCGUCUGGCUGUAGAUUCAAUAAAUAAUCAAACAGUACAGUUGACAAUGCACCUGUAGCAUUAUCAGCUUUGUGAUCACAUAUAUCUCACGGAGAGAGCGUUUAGAUGCUUUAAGAAGGUCCAGAGAAGCCCAUCACUUGCCUUUAGCAAUAAGCAAGCCAAAAAAAGAAGGAACAAUUUGGCUCAUGAAAUUAAACCAUAACUUGAUUAAAAAGAAGCACAACGUCCGUUAAUUUAGUAUCAGCGGUCCCUUAAUUAUGGUAACUUUUUCAAGGAAUAAAUUCAAGUUAUUUAAAAAAAAAUAUGAUGUGGACAUCACAUGACUUCCUUGUACGGCGUAUUAAAUUACACUCAUUUUAUCUCCACUUCAUUUAAACUUAUUUUCUCGGAUUAUUUUGACUUAAACUAUUUCUGAAGACAAGUUGAAAAUGAAAUCACAAACUACAAAUUUUGAAAUUAAAUAUCCCGGUUAAUUUUUGUGGUACUAGAGUUAAACUUCUUAUAAUUUUAUUGCUUCAUAACUAGUACAAUGCUUUCCCAAAUAUGUUAGAUUUUUCUAUUUGUCCAAAAUUAAUUUUAGUUUUAAAUUUGACAUGAGUAGAAGCUUAAAUCAAUGUCUUUUCAGACCUUAUUAGAGUGACAAGCGAGUUAUCACUCCAGCCUAAACUAAGAUGACAAAGUCCUGCAAAGAUUAAAAUAACAUUUUAAUUAAUUUUUUAAAUUUUACAGGAGACACCAUUUGUGCUCAUAAAACAAAAUUCCGUCACUUGCGCGUACUUAAAAAAACAAAUGCUGAAGUUUAAAAUUCAAGUAUCAUAGUCGGAGACUACAUAAGCUGGCUCAAAUACUUAACGAAGAACUUUUAAUGUUGUCCAGAAAAAUGGCAAAAGCUGGAAUAAACUCUGGCAUAGCUGGCGAGGACGUAAACUAGAAGCUAGGUUGCCGAAAAUUCUGGCUCUAAAAUGUUCAAAAUCCUCGGUUUAAAUAUUCACGUAGACAAUUUGCAUUUUGGUGAUGACUAUGAAAAGAUGAAGUUUCAAACAAUAAUAAUUGGUUAAUGAACGUAAAAUGCUUGCAGCAUCCUCUGUUGUGUUUCCCAUCUAGUAAUUAAGAAAGAACCAUGAACGUAUUGCGAACUAAUUUAAUGAAACGCAGCCAAGGCCAAAAUAACAAAUGUAUCAUUAAUUUGUUUCUGUCUAAUCAUAAAUAACAUGAGGAAGGCUCUUGAAAUGAAAUUAUAGUAUUUGCUGAAAGAAGAUUUAUAAUUGCUGGUCGUUAGCAGAAGUUUACACUGAACAUUGAAACAAAUGAAAAAAAAAAUAGUGCAAAAAGCAUUCCAAAUAUGUGUUUACCUUAGUUACAUCUUUCGUUAUGGUCCCGUCGACACAUAGAUCUUUCGGCACAUACGUGUGGAAUCUGACGAUACUCCAAAAAAAAGUGCCGAAAGAUCUAACUGAAGUAAACAAAUUUCUGACCGAAGCAAUUUUUUUAGUUUAAUAGUUAGCUGUUGUUUAGUUUCAUUUAUCUGAGGAAGAUAAAUAUCAAGGUGAAAAUUAUGGUAACAGUAAAGAUGACAGACGAUGAUGACGACGAUCUUUUCCAAAUUAUUUCCUUUUUGUGUCCCUUUGCGUGUUUGUAUGAAAAUUUAACAUAUACGAAUCAAACGUUUGAAAAUUCUUUUAAUGCAAAUUUAGUUAAGUUACUGUUUAAGACAUUGGAACUUGGUGCCAGAUUUUUCUUCAUUUUUUGCUUUAUAAUCUGCUUAAUCACAUGAUUUUAUAUACUUAUCUUACAGCAUGAAUCUAAAGAUGUAAAGCAACUGAUAAUUGAUUAGCGUAAAAUUUUUCUUCAAUGAAGAUUGGUUUAAUUGAUUAUGAUAAAGCACUCGAGGGCUAUCUGCCUAAAGGAAGGGAGAGACGCCUGCAAGGAAGAUUUUCUAAGAGAAACAGGCUUAUAUACACGUUACAAUGGGGAAAACUUCUAAAACGCCCAUGCAACUAGCCUGUUCGCGGAAUUCUAAUCUUGGACCGAAUUACAUCUGUUUAGCAACUUUACCACUCAGCCUCUGGUGGGCUUAUUAGUGAAGAAUGAAACUAGGAAAAGUUUAUGAUUGUACGGUUAGGGUGUAAUUCGUAAAGCUAAUUUGGCUACUCUAUGUACCUUUAUAUAGGAGAACUAAUUCUCAUAUUCGAAUUAUUAAUAAUGAUUUCUUCAAUAAGCUUAUUUUAAUAAAAAUGACGGU